rnacentral:tRNA from 1 species
GGAGGGUUGGCUGAGUGGUUGAAAGCGGCGGUCUUGAAAACCGUUAUAGGGUCUACACCUUAUCGGGGGUUCGAAUCCCUCACCCUCCGCCA